UACGGAGGGUGCGAGCGUUGUCCGGAAUCACUGGGCGUAAAGGGCGCGUAGGCGGCCUGCUAAGUAGGGGGUGAAAUCUUGCGGCUCAACCGCAAGACGGCCUCCUAAACUGUCGGGCUGGAGCACGGUAGAGGCAGAUGGAAUUCCCGGUGUAGCGGUGGAAUGCGUAGAGAUCGGGAAGAACAUCGGUGGCGAAGGCGGUCUGCUGGGCCGUUGCUGACGCUGAGGCGCGACAGCGUGGGGAGCAAACAGG
rnacentral:rRNA from 1 species